GCCCCCAUAGCUUAGCCCAAAGCAUGGCAUUGAAGAUGCCAAGACGGUACAUAAACUACCUGCGGGCA
rnacentral:tRNA from 1 species